GUUUUCUAGUAAAGAUAACAUUCUUAUCAUUCCAGAAGAUUUACCCUACAAGUAUUCUUAAAAAGUGAGAUUUAAAGAAGCUUGGCAAGAAACUUGGGUAUUAGACUCUUUUGGAGAUUGCCUCAGGUACCAUUGAACUGCCCGAGACAUUAAAUGGUAAUGAUGCAGUUACAGUUAUUUGCCAAUCAAAGUGAUUCCUGAGGAAGCACAGAGACAUUUAUUUCCAGGCUUUGAUGGCUAUUGUACUGCAUUAUUGGAUUUGGAAAAUAAAGCAGGCGUCGAUAGAAGUGUCUACUCGGUAACUGAUGAUGCCAGGCUCCUCCAAGGAUUCAGCACACAUGGGCUAACUUUGUGCACCAGCUAGUGACCUUGUUUCAGUUAUAACUGAGAAGAGAAAUGAAGAACAAAGGAAUCAGCUGAUUCUUUCGACAGAUAAAGAUAAGUGAUGAUAGCUAAUUACGAUUAGCAUCUGGGAAUUACACUGUAUUAAAAAGCCUGGGAAGGGAAAGUGAUCAGCAUCGCAAUUUCUUUUUCAUUGUUAUGCUCUGUACAUAAGACAAUUUUGAAAGGUAACUUAAAAGGACAAUUCUCAGAGGAUUCUGCAUUGUUUAGAAUAAUAAGUGCAAAGACAUUAGAAUCUGUAUUUAUUUGUCAGAUGAUUAUAAACUACCUAUAAUUCUUUGUUUCUUCCCAUGUUUCAUGUAUAUAAGCCUGUUAAUAACCAUAUAUCUGGAAAUAAUAUAAUUUAUGGCUCAAAACAUACCAUAGUGGAAAUUUAAAAGUUUUUAGAACCAAAUGAUAAUAAAAAUACUAAAUUUCAAAACUUGUGAGAUGUAGCAAGUAUGGUACCUGAAGGAAAUCUAUUGCAUUAAAUUCUUAUAAAAGAAAAUAAGGAAAGCUUAGAACUAACAAGUAAAACACUCAGCUUAAGAUGUUGAAAAACAAAAGCAGAACAAAUUCCCCCAAAAGGAAAAGAAAA